rnacentral:rRNA from 1 species
AGAUUGAACGCUGGCGGCAGGCCUAACACAUGCAAGUCGAGCGGCAGCACGGGUACUUGUACCUGGUGGCGAGCGGCGGACGGGUGAGUAAUGCCUAGGAAUCUGCCUGGUAGUGGGGGAUAACGCUCGGAAACGGACGCUAAUACCGCAUACCGUCCUACGGGAGAAAGCAGGGGACCUUCGGGCCUUGCGCUAUCAGAUGAGCCUAGGUCGGAUUAGCUAGUUGGUGAGGUAAUGGCUCACCAAGGCGACGAUCCGUAACUGGUCUGAGAGGAUGAUCAGUCACACUGGAACUGAAGACACGGUCCAGCUACCGUACGGGAGGCAGCAGGUAGGGAAUAGUUGGACAAGUGGACGAAAGCCGUAGACGUCCAGCCC